rfam:Schistosoma curassoni strain Dakar, Senegal genome assembly, scaffold: SCTD_scaffold0001672
AUCCAGCCGAAGAGUCCCGAAUAGGACAAAACGCUGGUCAAACUGGAU